AGAGACGCAUCACGGAGGAGGGAAUGUGGGCAUGCAGCUAUUGGCGCAGCUUAGCUGCAGGAUCUGGCAGCCCUGCUUCUACACUGAGGAUUCUCUUGUGUCCGGCGUGAGAGCUGAAAGCUAGACAUCGCACUGCUGGUUGGGCAUCCUGUCAGCUAUCUUCAGCAUUCAUUUCGGCAAGAGCAUCUUGAUUUUAUGAAAAACUAAAAUAAACGUAAAACAUUAAGAUAAAAACAUCCAAAGGUAUACGUAUUGGGAUUGACAUCUGAAAUGAGAAAAAAAAUCACAAAUAAAAGAGAAACCACAAAUUCCAUUUCCCUGAGAACCUGUGAAGAAGUGGAGCUGAAGUGGAAAAACAGAGAGGGGUGAAAACUGGAGGGCUGAAGAAGUCAAUACAGAAGGAGGAGGAGAUAGGGAUAAAUGGCAUCAAGAUUGUUUGAGAAGGAUUCA
rnacentral:lncRNA from 1 species